rnacentral:lncRNA from 1 species
GUGGUCUUUAUCCUGCUUUAUAUUAGUGACUUUUCUGUGAAGAUUAUGCUGAAUUAAAAAACAUUUGGGGCCAUCUUUCUAAAUCUGUGUUACUCCUUUCUUGGACAGGUCUCUCAGAGUCAGCAUCUCAGGAUUCAUUAGAUGCGUUCAUGUCAGAAAUUAAAUCAGGGAAUGCAUUAGAUGGUGUAUCCCGGAAGAAACUUCACCUGAGAACUUUUGAACUGAGGAAAGAACAACAGAGACUUAAAGGAUUAAUAAAAAUUGUAAAGCCGGCAGAGAUUCCUGAACUAAAAAAAGACAAAGUCUCAAUAUGAAGUCCAGGUUUGGCAUUGAACUCAUUAUGUAGCCCAGACUGGUCUCAAAUUCACAGCAAUUCUCCUGCCUCAGCCUGCCAGGUGCUGAGAUUAUAGACAUGCGCCAGCAAGACCAAGCCCAGCUGAAGUUUUUUUUUACUUAUUCUUUUUGUGCACAAUAAACUUCUUUUUGGUGGUACUGGUGGUUGAACCCAGGGUCUUUGCUCUGAGCCAGCCUUUUUUAAAAUUUUGAGACCAGGUCUCACUUAGUCACUAAG